UGCAACCGAUAGCUCAGUCAGUACAACAUGAGACUUUUAAUCUCAGGGUUGCGGGUUCGAGUCCCACGUUGGGCAA